UACGAAGGGGGCUAGCGUUGCUCGGAAUUACUGGGCGUAAAGCGCACGUAGGCGGCUUUCUAAGUCGGAGGUGAAAUCCUGGAGCUCAACUCCAGAACUGCCUUCGAUACUGGAGAGCUUGAGUCCGGGAGAGGUGAGUGGAACUGCGAGUGUAGAGGUGAAAUUCGUAGAUAUUCGCAAGAACACCAGUGGCGAAGGCGGCUCACUGGCCCGGUACUGACGCUGAGGUGCGAAAGCGUGGGGAGCAAACAGG
rnacentral:rRNA from 1 species